AUUGCAAGUGAUGAUAAAACAGACAGGGACAUCAGCACUCCUUUGGGAGAAUGGUGACAAGUCUAAUGGGAAUCUCUCUGAUGCAAU